AUCUAUGGUCAUGGCACCCUGAACAAGCCUGAUUCCUUCUGAUCUUGGAAGCUAAGCAGGGUCAAGCCUGGUUAGUCCUUGGUUGGGAGACCACCUAGGAAGACCAGGUGCCGUAGGUG
rnacentral:rRNA from 1 species